UCAGCAGAUAUUGAGAGUCCCUGACCCACGGUGAUGGCUUCUUGUACUAUUGUUUAAUGAAAGGAGAUCCUUUUAGCAGAAAUCACUCAUGAUUCAGCAGUCUAGAAGCCAUCAUGAGAAAAGAGUUGGAGUGGAUGGUUUUAAUGCAGAUGGUCUCAAAACGAUAGCUAAGUGUAUCUUUCAGAUGUUCUGCUCUCGCCCCUGGGGACUAACUCUAACAUCAUAGCUUAUGUUCAGCCUGACACCAGGGAACAUAUGAAAAGCAAAUACACUCCAGCACUCCAGCAAUGUAUAUAUUACCACAAAACAUGAGAUAUUAGUUAUUUCUCUUUAACCAAUACGAUUUAACCAAUAUUGAGUGGCCUAUGCUUAUGUUAUAAGUGAACACUUCAUCAUUUACUCAUUCAUUGAUUCAAAAUAUUUAUUUAUCCUUUCAUGUAUCAGGCACCAGAACAGUCCCAUAAGCCAACACAUCAGUGUCUUUAUAACCAAAAUUUACCAUGGAAACAGGCAAAUCAUUUUUAUAGAGUUAUUGUUUGUACCUCAACAUCUUUGAGACAAAUACUUUAAAGCGUAUUUUUGGAUGGAUUUUUUGACAAAGGAAAUCUUCCAGUUUUAACUUUUUGGGACAAAAUGUAUUUAUGAAUAUUGGCUGUAAUUAUUCUAGAGUUUCUAUUAUAAUUACAAAAUUCUGGUGCAGUGGUUCUUAACCCUUUAUACUUAUGACACACAACUUCCAAAUCCGAAAUUUCUGGCUGUGUACAUGAAGGCAAUAAAAGAUGAACAAUGGAUAAAAAAUCAGUACAGAAUUAUUUUUAAUAGAGAAAUUAAUGAAGCAAACCUACCGCAGAAGGAGAUUACUUAAAAGGUAAGGUACCUCCAUGUGAUGAAAUAGUACAGAAUGGAUUAAAGUUUUUUAAAAGGAAAUGGAAAAAUGCUCAUAAUAUAUUACUUACAGAAAAAGCUGAAUGUAAAACAAUAGCAGUAGUAUGAUGCUUUUAAAGAUGUAUAAAUAUUCACAUUGACUGUUUUUCUCCAUCCCUGCGCACUUCAGGGUGGUAGCAAAGUAAAGGAAAGCAAAAGAUUGCCUCAGUUGUCCUGAAUGCUUUCCCAGGCACAGGGAGUCUGAGUAUCUGCUUUUCUCAGACUUGAGUUUCCAAUUUCUGGUGAUUUCUUCCACAUAUAAUGCUGGAAUAUCCUGGGAGAAACAAUAUGGAUGUGUCACUAAAAGAUGUACUACCUGGCAAUGACUCGAACCAAAGUGAUAGGUCAUCAGCUAUUUUAUUUAGAAGUCAUUUCCACAUACCACAUCAUGCCUGGUGGCACAAACACCAGUGAAAUCCCACAAUAACUUUUUCCCAGGGGAGACUCACUAGACCAUACAUACUCCCAUUCCUUAUUAGUGUUUUUCUCAUUUGUGGUUGGUUUUUCUCUUAUUUAACAUAAGGCGGUGGUUCUCAGAGUAGGGCUCCCUGGACCUGUAGCAUCAGCAUCACUUGUGAAUUUUAACAUUUUAAAAUUUUUACUAGUUAGGAAGAGGUCCUUCUUUCCUUUUGAAUUGUCCUAAUACUGUUUUCACUCAAAAAUGUAUAGGAUCAUGAUAGCUAGAAUGUGCAUAUCUCUUAAUUUAUGCUGGACACUUCUCUAAGUGCCUUCCAAAUUUUAACUUAUUUAAUCUUCAUAAUCACCAUAUGAAAUAGGAACUACUAUUUCCCUAUUUUACAGAAAAAGAAAAUUGAACACCAGGAAAAUGAGUAACUCAUCCAAGAUCAUACAAUUAUAAACAUGCUCAUAGGAGAAAUACUGGAAGCAAAUAUAAAAUGUUAGCAGUGAUCAUAUCUGAUUAUUUCCAGGUAUAUGACCACAGAUGGCUUUAAAUUUUUUUAUGUGCCUUUCUAUAUUUUCCAAAACAUACAUAUUACAGUUGUUAUCAGAAAAAAAUCCAAAAUAUUUUUGAAAAGAACUAAGACAGACAUUUCAGAGAAGACCAGGAGUAAGGGCGCACCAGAAAAGAAGAAUAAAGAGCUGUAAUUGAAAAAACUUCUUCCUCAUGAUUGGAUCCUGGAAGCCACUGAGCAAGUGAGGAAAUGAAGAGUCCCAGGUACGGGGGCACUGAGCAUCCAAACUGGAAAUCCAGGGAUGGCAUGACAUUGAGCAAUCUGAUCUUUCUAAUGUCCUAAUAGGUUUUGCAACUUAUUUUCUUUGUAGGUAGCAGUGGAUAAGUGCAUUUAAUCACAGUAUUUUCAGGAGACAUUUGAUGGAACAGAACCCAGCUCUCUGUAUCCAGGGUAUAAAAAGCUUGGCCGUAAAAUAAUGCCCUGACUCAUCUUUAAUUAGGUGUGCAGUGUGGGAAAGAAAUGAAUGUCUUCCUGUGUAUGGGAGGUAUGGAGAAACCGCUAUAAGUUUUCAAAAUAGUCCAUUAUUAACAAUCUGCACUGAAUCGAUUGGUACCCACAGCUCAGUCAAUGUUUAAACAAGCUGGACAAUAGCUGAAGUAAUUAUUUGGGGUAAAUUAUUGCCAUUGUAAAAUGUAAUCAAUGUUUUAUUUCAACAAAAAGAGAUCUUUUUCUUGAUUUCUCUUUUCUCCCCACCUUUCCUCAGCUUUAUCUCCCUACCAGAGGUCUGGAAGAAGGAUUUUUUUGUUUUCUCCCCCAUAUUGGCAAGAGUGCUUCAGCUCCAUCUGAACAUAGCAAGACAGGACACAUCUUGUAAAGAUGAAGAGUAGUAGCUGCUAAAUUAUUGUCAAAUAUUUUGGAAAUAUGAAAUGCUGUACAACAAUAGUCAUUUGCAUGGUAAUGGGCAAGAACCAGGUCUUUAUACACCAUUACCACAAGUAAUUAACAAGAAGAUUAGGCACAAUAGUCUGUGUUUGGGAGCCAUGGUGGAGACUGGCAAAUGCGUAGGAUCAUCACAUUUUGGAGUUCUCAGUCCCAUGUACAAAGUCCAACUAUCUGAGGCCACCAUGCACUGAGGAUGUCCAGUCCACCUGGAGAGGCUACCAGAUAUGUGAAUGAAGAAGUCAUCUUGAAAAUGGAUCUUCCAACCCAUGUUGUCUAGCUAUGGCUGUUUGAGUCUCCUCGUGCAAGCCCCAGGCAUCUUGGAAUGGAGAAGAGCUGAGCCACUGUGUCCUCUGCAAAUUCUCAAUCCACAAAACUCAUGAAAAUAAUAAAACGAUUGUGUCUUUGUGCUACUAAAUUUAGGGGAAAUUUGUUAUUCAGCAAAGAUGAUUAGAACAAGAGAUCACAAUUUGACUACCGUAUUCCAGAAAUGACACAGAUCCAGAGAGGUUAAAUAAAUCAUUUUAUUCAAAUGAAGACUUAGUGGCAGAGUCAUUCUUAAGUACUGGUUUAAAGAUCCAUGCGCAGUUCACUACAUCAUGUACCUUCCUAGCUCUUGACAUCAGCUCUGAAUAUUUGCAUAGUUAAGACUUGACUUCAGGCUUCUGUACUCAAGGGGCAUACAUUCUAAGAAGUAUUAUGCUCAUAUAGUAAGCUAUGAGGAAAUUAAUUACAUUAUAAGCCUAGCAGAGAGGAUUCUGCUGCAGACUUUAGGUAGUGAGAGAUAUUGGAAACUGCCAGAGAAGGGACAGAGAUGAAGAAAUGGAAAUAGAGGGGAAGUGAGAGAGUUCUGCUGAGACUGAAGCCUUGCAGGGGAGGGAGGGGUAAGCAGCAGAGCAGGGGCGAAGUCAUGAGACACUGGUGGAAAAAGAAGGGUUGAAAUUGCUUCAACUCUAUUCAGGCAAACAACUGUGUGUCGACAAGAAGAAGGCUGAUAAGCAGCUUUAGACUGUCUAUAGCUAAAGGGGAAGUGAGAGGCGGGCAGCAUAUGGAGCAGGAAAGAACAGAGGGAACCAGCAUGAGCGGAGAGAGAAAGUUGAGGAGAGAGAUGGGGAGCCCAAGCAAAGAAAUAGGAAAACAGUUGGCCCUAAGUGUCCAAAGAAAUUAGGAAGAAUUGGAGACAGUGGGAGAUGA